UACGUAGGGUGCGAGCGUUAAUCGGAAUUACUGGGCGUAAAGCGUGCGCAGGCGGUUUUGUAAGCCAGAUGUGAAAUCCCCGGGCUUAACCUGGGAAUGGCAUUUGGGACUGCAAGGCUGGAGUUUGGCAGAGGAGACUGGAAUUCCCGGUGGAGCGGUGAAAUGCGUAGAGAUCGGAAAGAACACCAACGGCGAAAGCACUCUGCUGGGCCGACACUGACACUGAGAGACGAAAGCUAGGGGAGCGAAUGGG
rnacentral:rRNA from 1 species